rnacentral:rRNA from 1 species
UACGGAGGAUGCGAGCGUUAUCCGGAUUUAUUGGGUUUAAAGGGUGCGUAGGCGGACUGUCAAGUCAGCGGUAAAAUUGAGAGGCUCAACCUCUUCCCGCCGUUGAAACUGGUGGUCUUGAGUGGAUGAGAAGUACGCGGAAUGCGUGGUGUAGCGGUGAAAUGCAUAGAUAUCACGCAGAACUCCGAUUGCGAAGGCAGCGUACCGGCAUCCAACUGACGCUGAGGCACGAAAGCGUGGGAAUCAAACAGG